CGCAAUGGCGGUGUUUUUCAGUCUGUUUGCAAGAGCUUCCAAAAAUGAACGUUAACGACACUCAUCGGAUAUGUAAGGAGACCAGUAAAGCCCCCUCUAGCAAGCUGGAGAAAGGCUGUAAAUUGUACGCCUCAUCAUACAUACACAACUACGAAGACCAGGCUACGUGAUUCAUCUCCUGUUGUGCUGACACUCACGUGCUGUUCAUGUGUUGCAGGCACGGCCCUAUGCAACCACAUAGUGGCUUUGCUUUUUCAGACUGCACAUUUCUCUCAGCUCAGUGUGCCAGUAGUUCCUCCUGUGCACAGCUGUACUGAAACUGAACAGCGCUGGCACAAACCUCGGACAAUUGGUGUAAAGCCAGGACCAAUCAACAACAUGAUCACGAAACCUGUGCCAAAUCGAACGUCUCAAGGCGGAGUUAGGAGUGGACUCUACAGGGGCAUGGUGGGCCCUUUACCGAAUUCAUGCAUGUUUGGAGUGGCAGAGGCUUAUGAAAAAUUCAGCCUUGAAGACAAACCACUGGUGACCACCAUGGGCAUGGAACUCAACAAGCCAGCUGUGCAGUGUGCGUUUGGUAUGGUGCAGGAGGGCAGUGUUCUGUCAUAUCAGCAGCCUGUUUUACCAUCACGACACACCACGCUGCAUCCUGAUGUUCCAUCAACCCCACUUCUGCCUCUGAAAGACCACCACCUUGAUGCACCCACCUGUGCUUUUGUGUGCACUGAACAGGAGCUUUUUGAUAUGGCUCACAAAAUUGAGUUGUCAGCUCGGGAGCAGAGUUCUUGGACUGAGUGGCAUCUGCUCCGCAAGCCUAGAGUAACAAAUAAUGGAUAAAUAAUAAUAAUAAAUAAUAAAAAUUAAUGAAUAAUGGAAACAGAAUUUGUUUAGACUUAAUGUUUUAAUGUACAAAGAGUAUACAAAAUAUUUACAGAACCUGGUGUGUCUAAAAUGUGCUCUUUUACAGUUUAAUAAAUACAUCAUUUGUGGACAGAAAUGAGAAAAUGUAAAUAUUGAAUAUUCUGUAUACUUGUUAAAUUAUAGAGCGGCUCGGUGGCUGAGUGGGUAGCACUGUCGCCUCACAGCAAGAAGGUCCUGGGUUCGAUCCCUAGGUGGGGCGGUCCGGGUCCUUUCUGUGUGGAGUUUGCAUGUUCUCUCCGGUUUCCUCCCACAGUCCAAAGACAUGCAAGUGAGGUGAACUGGAGAUAUAAAAUUGUCUGUAACUUUUCAAUAUAACCUUGUGGACUGAUGAAUCUUGUGUAAUGAGUAACUACCGUUCCUGUCAUGAAUGUAACCAAAGUGUAAAAACAUGACGUUAAAACCCUAAUAAGACAAACAAACAAAAUUAAAUCAUAUGUUUACUUAAUAAAAGAGUGUUUGUGUUUUUGUGAAA